rnacentral:misc_RNA from 1 species
CGGCCAAAAUAUGGUGUCGACACUAAGAAAGUGCCAUAAUGGCAUUCUAGGUGUGUGAUUUGUUGUUAAUUUUCUGAAAAUAUGCAGAAGAGAUAGGUGCAAAAACUUUCUUGUCCAAUUAAAAUGAAUUUGGUAACGUCUUAAAUGGAGCGAGUUCUUUUAAAGAAAAAAGGUUGAUGUACAUAUCUUGAAAAGUUAUUCAAAAUAAUGGCACUGUAUGCUUCCAUGCAGUUAUUUUAGUUGCGGUUCAAGUAGUUUUUUGGAAGACUAAAGAUGCAAAGUGCUACGACUUCUGCGUGACUGUUUCUUUUAACUUUCAAAAUUAUACUGUCUCAUGUUGUUGUAAAUUCUAACAAACCUGAAUUUUUGCCUUUUUUAUUUGAUCAG